UACGUAGGGUGCAAGCGUUGUCCGGAAUUAUUGGGCGUAAAGAGCUCGUAGGCGGUUUGUCGCGUCUGCUGUGAAAACUCAGGGCUUAACUCUGAGCUUGCAGUGGGUACGGGCAGACUAGAGUGCGGUAGGGGAGACUGGAAUUCCUGGUGUAGCGGUGAAAUGCGCAGAUAUCAGGAGGGAACACCGGUGGCGAAGGCGGGUCUCUGGGCCGUAACUGACG
rnacentral:rRNA from 1 species